UGUUCUCAGGGCGGGGCGAAAUUCCCCACCGGCGGUAAGGGGCCAUGCGCCCCAAGCCCGCGAGCGGCCCUUGGCAAGCCCGAGGGUGUCAGCAGAUCUGGUGCGAUUCCAGAGCCGACGGUCAUAGUCCGGAUGGAAGAGAAC
rnacentral:ncRNA from 1 species